UGGGGAAUAUUGCACAAUGGGCGAAAGCCUGAUGCAGCGACGCCGCGUGAGUGAUGAAGGUCUUCGGAUUGUAAAGCUCUGUCUUUUGGGACGAUAAUGACGGUACCAAAGGAGGAAGCCACGGCUAACUACGUGCCAGCAGCCGCGGUAAUACGUAGGUGGCGAGCGUUGUCCGGAUUUACUGGGCGUAAAGGGUGCGUAGGCGGAUGUUCAAGUGAGAUGUGAAAUACCCGGGCUUAACUUGGGUGCUGCAUUUCAAACUGGAUAUCUAGAGUGCAGGAGAGGAGAAUGGAAUUCCUAGUGUAGCGGUGAAAUGCGUAGAGAUUAGGAAGAACACCAGUGGCGAAGGCGAUUCUCUGGACUGUAACUGACGCUGAGGCACGAAAGCGUGGGUAGCAAACAGGAUUAGAUACCCUGGUAGUCCACGCCGUAAACGGUGAGUACUAGGUGUAGAAGGUAUCGACCCCUUCUGUGCCGCAGUAAACACAUUAAGUACUCCGCCUGGGGAAGUACGAUCGCAAGAUUAAAAC
rnacentral:rRNA from 1 species